GACGAACGCUGGCGGCGUGCUUAACACAUGCAAGUCGAACGGAAAGGCCCCCUUUUGGGGUACUCGAGUGGCGAACGGGGGAGUAACACGUGAGUAACCUACCCUUUACUUUGGGAGAACUUCAGGAGACUGGGGCUAAUACCGCAUAGGAGCUCCUGCGGCAUGGUGGGGGGUGUGAAGUUUCGGCGGUGGGGGAUGGGCUCGCGGCUUAUCAGCUUGUUGGUGGGGUAGUGGCUCACCAAGGCUUUGACGGGUAGCCGGCCUGAGAGGGUGACCGGCCACAUUGGGACUGAGAUACGGCCCAGACUCCUACGGGAGGCAGCAGUGGGGAAUAUUGCACAAUGGGCGGAAGCCUGAUGCAGCAACGCCGCGUGCGGGAUGACGGCCUUCGGGUUGUAAACCGCUUUCGCCUGUGACGAAGCGUGAGUGACGGUAAUGGGUAAAGAAGCACCGGCUAACUACGUG
rnacentral:rRNA from 1 species